GUUUUCUACUCCUUUUAUUAAAUUUGCCUCAUUAGUGUUGUCUCCUUUGAGUAGAUCAUCUCUUUCUUAGUGGGGUUUUGAUGACUACAACCACAAAACAAGAAAGUGAGAACUCAGGAAACACAGCAGAAGAAAACAAUUUGAUAGAAGAUGCUACAGUAGAGAUGAAAAAUUGAAGACAACAUAUUCAGGAUGGCGUAGGAACUAGAAGAAAAUGUGAUAAAUAUUUGGUGUCAUGAGAUGAAGAAAAUCAACCAUAAUGAGGAAAGAAGCACAACUGCUAUUUGCCAAGUUGAGGAAAAGAAAAAAAAAAUGACUGUCUACCAGGAGUUGGAGCAGUUUUUAGAUGCUGUCAUCCUUAUUAUGCACCCUUGUGGAUUUGGAGGAGGUGGUGGGGUUCUUGACGCACAUCAUUUGCUUCCACAAAUCUCCAAAGUGAUGUCUCCUUUCCUAGAGCUGCUUUCCCAGCUGGCUCCAAUGGUUGAAGUUAAAAGGUAAGUGCAACUCAAAUGCUUCUCAAUUUUCUCAGAGUCCAGUAGCCUUCCUGACUGCCUCAGAUUCACCUCAACAUUCCCAAGUUUCCUAAAUACUCCAGUUUUUUCUAAAGAAAACUCUGUGCAGACUGUUUUAUUAUAGAGUUUACUCAAGCAAAAGCUCUCAAUAAUACCAUGCAUUGAAAAAGAUAGGAAUCUAUCAAAUUCACUUUAUGAUGCUAGCAAAACC
rnacentral:lncRNA from 1 species